UACGUAGGGGGAGAGAGUGGGACGGAAGGAUUGGGCGUAAAGCGCGCGCAGGCGGAAGCUUAAGUCUGAUGUGAAAGCCCACGGCUCAACCGUGGAGGGUCAUUGGAAACUGGGGGACUUGAGGGCAGGAGAGGAGAGCGGAAUUCCACGUGUAGCGGUGAAAUGCGUAGAGAUGUGGAGGAACACCAGUGGCGAAGGCGGCUCUCUGGCCUGCACCUGACGCUGAGGCGCGAAAGCGUGGGGAGCAAACAGG
rnacentral:rRNA from 1 species